rnacentral:lncRNA from 1 species
CCAGCUCUGCUCAGAGAACAACUCUACUUCCUGGUUCAAGCAGAGACCCUACUCAAGCUUCAGAUGGCUGCAGGGUUCCCAGAUCCAGAUAGCAAAGAGCAAACCUGGAAGGAAACUGCUUUCCCUGUGGGUUGGUGUCACCAGUGCCCACGAGUCUAAAAGACCAAGUACCGAGGAGGGCAGGGGUCUGCAAGGCAGCACACAUCCUCCAGAAGUGGAUGGAGCUGGCCAUCUGAGCCAGGGGGCUCCAACACUCACUUGUCACAGAAGGCCAGCCCUGCUCUAUGGGGCAGGGAUCAGGAUCAAGUCGGAGGAAGGCAGCUGGGGGUUGGGGGGGUGGUGAGCAGAGGAUGCAUCUGGGUUGAAGACGCCCAGCUGUGCUAGAUGGUGGCUGUAUGAAUUCAGGCUGGUAGACACAUCUCUGGGGCUGCUUCUUUAUCCACUUGUCCUGCCUACCUUCAGGACUUUUCUGGAGAUUAAUAAGAAUCCUGGCUGGGAAUGGGCUCUGGAAGCUUGUAUACCACCAGAUGCAUUAUUG